rnacentral:rRNA from 1 species
CCCUUAGAUGUUCUGGGCCGCACGCGCGCUACACUGAUUCAUGCAACAAGUUUUGUCCUUGGCUGAUAGGCCUGGGUAAUCUUUGAACGUGAAUCGUGAUGGGGAUAGAUGAUUACAAUUAUUCAUCUUCAACGAGGAAUUCCUAGUAAACGCAAGUCAUCAGCUUGCAUUGAUUACGUCCCUGCCCUUUGUACACACCGCCCGUCGCACCUACCGAUUGAAUGGUCCGGUGAAAUCUUCGGAUCUGAGAGAUGUCUGAUUAAUUUCGGACGCCUUUUGGAAAAGUUGUUUAAACCUUACCAUUUAGAGGAAGGUGAAGUCGUAACA